UACGAAGGGAGCUAGCGUUGUUCGGAAUCACUGGGCGUAAAGCGCACGUAGGCGGAUUUGCCAGUCAGGGGUGAAAUCCCCGGGCUCAACCCGGGAACUGCGUCCGAGACUGGCAGGCUCGAAUCCGGGAGAGGGAUGUGGAAUUCCAGGUGUAGCGGUGAAAUGCGUAGAUAUCUGGAGGAACACCGGUGGCGAAGGCGGCAUCCUGGACCGGUAUUGACGCUGAGGCGCGAAAGCCAGGGGAGCAAACGGG
rnacentral:rRNA from 1 species